GCGAAAACUUUACAAUGCUGGCAACAGCGAUAAGGGAACCUCGAGUGCCAGGUUACAAAUCUGGCUGUCGAGAUGCCUAAAAAGCAUUUCAUAGCAAGGGCCGGGCAAGACCGGUGCCAGCCGCCGCGGUAACACCGGCGGCUCGAGUGGUAACCGUUAUUAUUGGGUCUAAAGGGUCUGUAGCCGGCCGGAUAAGUCUCUUGAGAAAUCUGGCAGCUUAACUGUCAGGCUUUCAGGAGAUACUGUCUGGCUCGAGGCCGGGAGAGGUGAGAGGUACUUCAGGGGUAGGGGUGAAAUCUUGUAAUCCUUGAAGGACCACCAGUGGCGAAGGCGUCUCACCAGAACGGACCUGACGGCAGGGGACGAAAGCUGGGGGCACGAACC
rnacentral:rRNA from 1 species